AUCGCUUCUCGGCCUUUUGGCUAAGAUCAAGUGUAGUAUUUUGCCCUGUCCAGUGUUACUCAAUUAGUUGAGAGUUGUCCCAUGCACCUAAA
rnacentral:snRNA from 1 species